rnacentral:rRNA from 1 species
CCGCGGCGCAUUAGCUAGUUGGUGGGGUAACGGCCUACCAAGGCGACGAUGCGUAGCCGACCUGAGAGGGUGAUCGGCCACAUUGGGACUGAGACACGGCCCAGACUCCUACGGGAGGCAGCAGUGGGGAAUAUUGCACAAUGGGGGAAACCCUGAUGCAGCAACGCCGCGUGAGUGAUGAAGGUUUUCGGAUCGUAAAGCUCUGUCUUUGGGGAAGAUAAUGACGGUAA